rnacentral:misc_RNA from 1 species
AAAAACCCGAGUUUUCCCGAACGUUCUCACUCUGCAUUUCAGUCUCUCCUCAUCAUCUCGAAGCACUGCAGUUCUGAUCCGUUCUGUAAGAACAAGGACAACCAUUGCAGGUACGGACACAGUCUCUGAUGGGUUUCCUCUUUUUUUAUUUUAUUUUCUUGCCCCUUACUAAUUGAAUUUUUGGGCUACUGAGAUUUUGGUGGGUUUUUCUCUACAAAGGUUCUUGAUUUUAGUUCCACUUCAAUCUUGAAUCAAUUGUUUGAUAUUAGUUCAAAAUUUUAGUAGCUAAUUAGCUAUGAUAUCAGCAUAUAAGCCUUUUAUCCCCUGUCGUUUAAGCAAGCAAUCUAGUGAACUAUCUUUCGCACUAUUUCCUUAACAUGUCUCUUUGCAUAUUCUCUGCUUUGCAGGGUUGUUAUUGCUUGCAUAUUAACUGUAGUUUUUGAAAGAGGAACACGAUAACCAGGGCUUACAUGCGUGGAAUAGCUGCAUUAUUAUUGCCAAUUAAAUACAAAUUCAAACAAGUCUACCCUGUGGCAGGAUCAUGGGGUACUAGUGUAUCUUAUUCCUCUGGUCUUGUUAUUGUUCUGAUUGUAUAAAUUCAAGUACUUUCUAUUCCUGACAAUGAUAUGCUCUUAAAACCAGGUACCGUCGCUACUUCAACUCCAAAGAAACAAGAGAACAAUGAUUCGGGAGAAGGGACGCGAGUUUUGAAUGAAAAGACAGAUCCUAUUGCUGCCUUCAGCAGACCACCUUCACUCCCACCUGUUCUUGGACCGCUGGUGGCUCUCUCAUUGUUCGAAAUGUGGUCAAGCCAUGAUGGUGAUGAUGACUGAUUGACAAUGCAAAGCCAUAUCUACCGUUUAUGUACGUAAGGAUCUUUGUAGUGUUUCCUGCCUGAUGUAUUUCUUUGAAAUGUUGAUUAGCAUGCUUAUAGCAAUGAUAAACAGUCGAGCCAUGAAAUCCCAAAUUCUGAUUCUGAUGUAGCCUGCUGGAAGUGGAUGGAUAAUAGUUGUCAAGAGUCUAGGGUAAAUCUUCAUUAAAAACUGUACUAUGGCAUGAUGACUCUUUAGGAAUCCUGCAGAAAAGAAAGAAUGACGUAGUAUUGUCAUCGUACUAUGAGUUUUGUAGUAGAUGCUGUUUGGUUAAGUUUUAAUGAAUGUUAGCGUACAUUCUGCAAACUUUAGGAAAUCAUAAUAUUGCAGUUACAUUCUUUAACAUUGUCUGGAUUCCUUGAUGCAAGGAACCCAUUUGAAGAAGGAAAGUAAUGGUUAAAAUCAUGUCAUGCUAUGGACUAUGGAGUAGAAGAAUUGUUCUACUUUUAGCUAAAACAAUUUGCAAGCAAGAGGAAGUCGUUCUGGGUGCUUACCAACACCAUGCCUCCUGGUUGAUGGGUGAUUCGUUUACAACCAGAGCUUUCCUGCUGCAAAAAGCUGUUUCCUAAUGGACUUUACAGGUCAAAACUUAUUAAUUUGAUGUUGCUAGUCUAUCCCCUUCUUGUGAGCAUUUAUAAAAGCUGCUGGUGAAAGGUAUUCGUCUCUUUUUGCGUUCUGCCACAGUAGAAAGUUCAUCAUUUUCUUAAGUUUCUUAUGGGUCUUAAAUUUAUUGGUGAAAGGAAAUGCAAAUUCGUGCAAAACAAAGGUGGAUGAAUAUACCAUGUGCCAAUUUACUCCUGCUGUAAAUUCAUCAUUUUCACAAACAUGUCCAAUGCUGAACUUUACAUUCUGGGCAUGAUGAUAGAAAUGCAUAACCUUCUGCGGCAAUUCAUUCUUAUUUGUUAAGCUCUCUUUUGGAAAAGGUAAGAAACGAAUCGUUUAUUAGUUAGAGAAGAAGUUAAUGAAAGGAUGAAGAGGAGACCUUUUGCCGUGAAUUGGAGAAGAACAGUCCUCAAAGUGACAAUCGUCUAAAAUAUACUCAUCCAGUUCCUUCAACAUCUUCUCAUUCAUAACUCAUACAAACUCCUGAUCAUGCUGCGUAAGGCUGAUCCAAUGUAUGAAACGGCAUCACUCUCUGGCUCUCUGCUGCUGAUAGCAUCGUUAAGUUGGGCCUCCGAUUGUUGAAUGGUUUGUUUUGUAUGCCUUUUUAAACGGAUAAAUUUAAAUAGCCGUUCUUGUUCUGAAACUUUAUAAGUUGUAAUAAAAUUAUUUUUAAUUUUAAAAAUAUAU